rnacentral:rRNA from 1 species
UACGUAGGGGGCUAGCGUUGUCCGGAUUUACUGGGCGUAAAGAGCACGUAGGCGGGUUCGUAAGUCGAUUGUGAAAGCCCCGGGCUUAACCUGGGAAUUGCAGUCGAAACUGCGAGUCUUGAAUGUUCGAGAGGAUGGUAGAAUUCCUGGUGUAGAGGUGAAAUUCGUAGAUAUCAGGAGGAAUACCGGAGGCGAAAGCGGCCAUCUGGCGAAAACAUUGACGCUGAGGUGCGAAAGCGCGGGGAUCAAACAGG